rnacentral:rRNA from 1 species
AUUGAACGCUGGCGGCAGGCCUAACACAUGCAAGUCGAACGAAUGGCGGACGGGCGAGUAAUGUCUGGGAAACUGCCUGAUGGAGGGGGAUAACUACUGGAAACGGUAGCUAAUACCGCAUAACAUCAGAUCGGCCCUGAUGGGAUUAGCUAGUUGGUGGGGUAACGGCUGACCAAGGCGACGAUCCUCAGCUGGUCUGAGAGGAUGACCAGCCACACUGGAACUGAGACACGGUCCAGACUCCUACGGGAGGCAGCAGUGGGGAAUAUUGCGCAAUGGGCGCAAGCCUGAUUCAGCCAUGCCGCGUGUAUGAAGAAGGCUUUCGGGUUGUAAAGCACUGUCGUCAGGGAAGCGGUACCUGCAGAGGAAGCACCGGCUAACUCCGUGCCAGCAGCCGCGGUAAUUC